AUUGAACGCUGGCGGCAUGCCUUACACAUGCAAGUCGAACGGUAACAGGUCUUCGGAUGCUGACGAGUGGCGAACGGGUGAGCAAUACAUCGGAACGUGCCUAGUAGUGGGGGAUAACUACUCGAAAGAGUGGCUAAUACCGCAUGAGAUCUACGGAUGAAAGCAGGGGAUCGCAAGACCUUGUGCUACUAGGGCGGCCGAUGGCAGAUUAGGUAGUUGGUGGGAUAAAAGCUUACCAAGCCGACGAUCUGUAGCUGGUCUGAGAGGACGAUCAGCCACACUGGGACUGAGACACGGCCCAGACUCCUACGGGAGGCAGCAGUGGGGAAUUUUGGACAAUGGGCGAAAGCCUGAUCCAGCAAUGCCGCGUGCAGGAUGAAGGCCUUCGGGUUGUAAACUGCUUUUGAACGGAACGAAAAGCCCCGGGUUAAUACCCUGGGGUCAUGACGGUACCGUAAGAAUAAGCACCGGCUAACUACGUGCCAGCCGCCGCAGUAA
rnacentral:rRNA from 1 species